rnacentral:tRNA from 1 species
GGGGGUUUAGCUCAGCGGCCUAAGUGCCUGCCUUGCAAGCAGGCAGUCAUGAGUUCAAUCCCCG